AUGGAAGCUGCACAGAAGCCUUGCCUUAACAAGUGCUUGGAGACCAGGUGUCCCGCUUUUCCGAAGCAGGCAUCUAUCACCAACAAAGCACACCUUGCCUUACAAAGCACAGAACAGGGAGGGAUUUUCUGUCCUGAGGAAUUUACAUGUAGGAGGUAUCGACAUGAGGAUGGGGAGUCUCUUAAUUUCAUGAAACCCGGGAUAGCGGACUACUCUGUAGCACCGACAAACUUGGUUUUCACCUCUUCUGGACCCCCUGAAGGUCUGGUUUUGGAGAAGUUCAUGCUCUGGAGCUCCUGCAGUGAUGAUGGCAGGCACUGGCUGGAGGCACAUCCCCAGACCCUACCAGCAGGCUGGAGGGCCACAUUCUGGGGCGACUGCACGUGUGGAAUUUUCCAUGUGGUUGCGAUAAGCAGCCCAUGUGUACAGAAGAAAAAAACAGCGUGGCUUUUAGAUGGUGCAAGAAUUGCCUCUGAUUAUUUCCGCAGCACCUGUACAGGUCCUUAA
rnacentral:lncRNA from 1 species